AAAGACCUUACAGGAAAGCAGAUGAAGGGCUGAAGAAUGUCUGCUUCACCUGUUCAACUCGUGCUGUUUGUGUCUAAGUGUGUGAAAGAGAGAGAGAGAACAUGUUUCACUACAUAAAAUAGGGGGGUCAUCUGUGAGCUACUUUGUGCUUCUUUGCAACUGAGUUGGUAGAGCAUGAUGCCUGAAAUUCCGUGGGAGAGGGUUCGAUUCCCAAAACCCCCUGUAUGCAAAUUUCAUGAGCUCUGUGGGUGGAUUACAUGGCAGAAAGAGGAAGUAGCAUCACCACAGAAGGAUGUGUUUCCUUGCACGGACAAAGACAGCAUCCCAAUCCGACAACUUCCAUGCGUCUCUGUGUGUCUCCGCACGCGUUUGCUGACAGCGAGUCGCAUGUUUGCCGCCCAUCUCCCUCAGGACUCUGACCCUCCCAAACCAUCAUAUUAAAGGAGCCUCCCGCAUCCUAGAGAAAGAGUACAAGUCAUUCAGAGCCACCUUAAAGGCUCUCUGUGUAAACAGCU
ensembl:lncRNA